rnacentral:rRNA from 1 species
GACGAACGCUGGCGGCGUGCUUAACACAUGCCAGUCGAACGGAAAGGCCCUGCUUUUGUGGGGUGCUCGAGUGGCGAACGGGUGAGUAACACGUGAGUAACCUGCCCUUGACUUUGGGAUAACUUCAGGAAACUGGGGCUAAUACCGGAUAGGAGCUCCUGCUGCAUGGUGGGGGUUGGAAAGUUUCGGCGGUUGGGGAUGGACUCGCGGCUUAUCAGCUUGUUGGUGGGGUAGUGGCUUACCAAGGCUUUGACGGGUGGCCGGCCUGAGAGGGUGACCGGCCACAUUGGGACUGAGAUACGGCCCAGACUCCUACGGGAGGCAGCAGUGGGGAAUAUUGCACAAUGGGCGGAAGCCUGAUGCAGCAACGCCGCGUGCGGGAUGACGGCCUUCGGGUUGUAAACCGCUUUCGCCUGUGACGAAGCGUGAGUGACGGUAAUGGGUAAAGAAGCACCGGCUAACUACGUG